GUGAGUAGGCGUCAUUCUUCACAGUAGUCCUCUGCCUCCACCGCCCCGGGAUCUCCUUGCGCUCGGUCCUCUACGUGGAGUCACCUAUGCAGAGGAAUUCCACGGGGCGGGGGCGAGGACAGGGUGCGGGGGUCUUUAUGGCAGACAAUCCCCGGCUGAGCGCUUGGCCAGAGUUUCUGUGAUGCUAGAAUCUGGACUGCCUGCGACCUCUCCGGGACUCGGACACCAGCCCUCGCCUCCUGGUGAUCUUUUAGGUCCUGCAGAGAAGUGAAGAGAUGAGCCCCAGAGAGGCGAAGCCACUUGAGCUCGUGAGUGACAGUCAGAUGUCAAGCCCUGCUCUUUCUAAAGCGUGCUGCCUUCAGAAAAGAAGAGCCAGAAGGAUGGAAAUUACUUCAGAAAGAUGAAUACCAGCUUUGAAGGAAUAAAAGCUGACGAGGAAUUGAAGGAGUUGAGGCACGAGCUUGAACAGGGUUGCAUGUUUGGCCCUUGAUUGUAAAUGCCCAUUGCUGCACCUGUUCCUGUUACUUGGGGAGUUGCAGCAGAAGGAACAGCGGCCUGGGACUCCAGAGAACUGGGUUCCCUCUCAUCCCUCCAGGGCCACCACUUCUUGUGGGCCCUUGGGCAAGUCACUGUACUUUCUGAGUCUCAGUUUCCCCAUUUGCAGAAUGGAAAUAACUACCCCGGUCUACCAACUUAGAAGAAUUGCUUUGAGGAUCUGAUAAGGUGGUGUGGAUGAUGCUGCCUUGGGGGCUUUACAGUCUGGAGCUCAAGGGACCCCUUAAGUUGGGCUUACUUAGUAACUCCAGGGGUGGGCAGAACAGGACUCCAAUGAGGGUUUUUUUCUUUUUCCCUUUUUUUUCUUUUCCUAUCUCUUAACUUUUAUCUUUAUUAUUUUACAAUGCCCUUGUAAGAUGAAACAAGUGAUGCUGAAAUAUCUUUUUCUUUUUUAACCUUUAUUUUAGAAUUGGGGUACAUGUGCAGGUUUGUUACAUAGGUACAGUGUGGGCUGCUGAGGUUUGGGAGUACGAAUGAAUUAGUCACCCCAGUGGUGAGCAUAGUGCCCGAUAAGUGGUUUUUUCAACCCUUACUCCCAUCCCUCUCCAUUCUUGUGUUCCCCAGUGUCUGCUGUUCCCAUUUUUAUGACCAUGUGUACUCAAUGUUUAGCUCCCACUUAGAAGUAAGAACAUGCCCAGCACUUUGGGAGGCCGAGGUGGGUGGAUCAUGAGGUCAAGAGAUCGAGACCAUCUUGGCUAACAAAGUGAAACCCUGUCUCUACUAAAAACAUAAAAAAUUGGCCGGGUGUGGUGGUGGGCACCUGUAGUCCUAGCUACUCGGGAGGCUGAGACAGGAGAAUCGCCUGAACCGGGGAGGUGGAGGUUGCAGUGAGCUGAGAUUGUACCACUGCACUCCAGCCUGGGUGACAGAGUGAGACUCCAUCUCAAAAAAAUAAAAAUAAAAAAAUAAAAAGAAUGUGGUGUAUGA
rnacentral:lncRNA from 1 species